AGCGGCGGACGGGUGAGUAACGCGUGGGUAACCUGCCUCAUACAGGGGGAUAACAGUUAGAAAUGGCUGCUAAUACCGCAUAAGACCACAGCACCGCAUGGUGCGGGGGUAAAAACUCCGGUGGUAUGAGAUGGACCCGCGUCUGAUUAGCUAGUUGGUAAGGUAACGGCUUACCAAGGCGACGAUCAGUAGCCGACCUGAGAGGGUGACCGGCCACAUUGGGACUGAGACACGGCCCAA
rnacentral:rRNA from 1 species